AUCUCGCGUUAGGGAUUGAAGUGGAAAUCCUUAUAUCACGAGAUAAGCGUGAUAAAAGAUUGUAACAUAAAGCCCGACCGUAG
rnacentral:sRNA from 1 species